rnacentral:lncRNA from 7 species
AGCCAAGGAAAAAUCCCGAAUGGGAUCUCACUGGAUGACAUGAGAAAACGUGUUGCUUCAGGACUUGUGUCCAAUGCCCCCAGAGGAUGUCCUCUCUGAGCCUGCCUUGGUGGUCACUUCAAGAUCAGGAGGAAUCAGUUCUUGCCAUGCAGCCCUGUCUGUAGCACGACAUGGUGUUUUGUGAUGAACAAAUGUGUCUGCUUUUUCCUUUACUGAACUCCUGCAUGGGCUUGCUAGUUUGUGAAUGCAACUAGUUGUUUUCCUGAGGCCAUCCAUGCAUCCAACUGCACAGGCUUUACAGGCUCCAUGAAGAGUCUCUAUGUGGUGAGCAAGCCUUCAGGUGCCUUGCUGUUGGAUCCCCAGUGCAUCAGUCAGUGCAGCUUGCCAGAGGGGACCAGACAGCUUGCUUUGCCUUGGUGGGCUCUCUGCAUGUUGAAGAUGCUUAUGGGUGCCAGGAACCAAGUGUAGCUGACUGCAGCUAUAGCAAAAUCUCUCUAUGCUCCUGAAACUGAGAAUGUACAGCUGAUAGGGUCUGGUCAUACCAGAAAAAGGAGACAAGGGCUGUUUAACUGGGGAAAGUAAGCAUAAACAGCAUUCAGAUUAAAUAGCAGGAAAUAGGGAUAAAUUGCUUUCCAGUGAAAAGGCAUAAAAAAUUCCCCAUGUGAGAAUGGGUCAAACCCUGCCAUCCCCUUGAGAGAGAAGGAGGAGCAUGUGCAGUCUGUAUUUCAUCCAGAGCUCUGCAGCUUUGGUACCUCUGUGCUCGCUAGCAUGGGGGUCUGGUUUGAAGAGUAACAGGGAGUGGUGCAGACCUCAGGCUCUUAAUCAUGCAGCUCUUUCUGGCAGCAGAGCAUUCCAUUUCUGUCUUGGGAGCUGUUCCCCUGUGGAUACCGAGUAUGAUGGGACAUGCCUGUCCUUUUUCUUGUCAGUACAUGCGUUGUUUACAGACAGCCAAAAUGUUACCAGUCUAUCUGACCUCCUACAUUUGAUGAAAUGAGAAAGGCAGAGUCACAGCAACCUUGUAGUACAUAUUUAUGCCUCACACAUCUUUGACAGAGGACCCAUGCUUCUAAAUCUGCUCUUGAUUUUUUUUCACCAGCUCUGUGACUUUGAUGUGGCUCCCUUAACAUGCAUCGUCUCUCUGCCUUCUCUGUCUUUCCUGGCUGUGCAGUAUGAACGAGCUGUUACCUGCAUGUUCCCUGGCUAAGUGUCAGGUCACUGCAGUUUUGAUGCCACCUCCAUGGCAAGAGAUGCUGUCAAAAUUUACUGUUGAGCUGCAGUUACUUCUAAGGCAUAAUACACUAGUUGUUAAAAUGCUUGAUAGCAGAACAGGAUGGGUUAAGAGAGUGCAGUAUGGAGUGACCACUGUAAUGUAUAUUCUACGUAUGGACUCAUCUGUGCUGAGUUCAAAGUAGUAGUGACCCAUCAAUAGGAACUGGCUGAAGCCCAAGGCUGGGAUGUACAAGUGCUUUGAGUUAUGGAGUGUGCAGCACUCAGAUCCGGGCAUGACUUUAGACUUGAGCCUACAUCUAGAAGAAUUAACUGUUACAAGUACAUCCAUGGAAUUCCUUUAGGAUUCUUCCAGCUGUAAGUGCUAAAUGUGAAUGUGCCUAACACAGCGAUCAGACUUGAAUUCCUUGUUCUAGUACCAUACAUUGCAUUAAGAAAUAAAGGGUUGCUUUCUGCAGUAUGGAAAGCAUUGCUGUAGUUCUAAGGUACUAGAAGAAAAACAGAAUUUAUCAAUCAGCACAUUUGAAAAUGUAUACUUUGCACUGUGAAUCUCACAACCUUGAUCACAUUUCUCUGAUCGAGGACCUGGGUGAUUAUUAAAUGACUUGGUGUAGUCUGACGCUGUGCUGACAUUUUGUAUCACUCACACCUUUUCUCAUCACUGUCUCUCUAUAUCACAUUUCAGAAGAGGAUGCUCAGAAAAGCAAAUCUGUUUUUUCUGCACAUGAAUGAUAUAAGUUGCCCAGUUCUCACUGGAGAUGUUUUACCCUUGUUACUGUUGGGUUUGUAUGAAGGUCAGUCAGAAGCAUCUCCCUUGAUUUGCUUGAAAUUCUUGUUUCGUUUGAAAGAAAACAAACAUGCAUACAAAAAAAUUCUUUCGGGUCUUCUCUUUUCUUCCAUGUCAGUAGAGAUGGUGAUAUUUGUUACUUGCAGAUGGAAAGCCACCACAAGAAUUGUCAUUAACAAAGACAACUACUUAGAGGGAGCUUUUGUUCUCUGCAUGUUUUGAUGCAUUGCUCUUCCUGCAGAUGUGAGAAGUUUCAUUGUCUAUGGUGGAUGGCUGAAUUCUUAGACUGGGUGAGCAUCAGAAGCUAUCCUUGAUUUCAGGAAGAGUUCCAAUGUACUUUUGGGAUCCAUGCUGUGAGCUGUCUGACAGGUUGCUUGAGGCUGUACUGCAAAUCAGCGGCAGUGCUGGGAAUGCACCUGAGCAGCUUCCUUCCCACCUCACCUCAUUCAGAAGUCACACUUUCCAUGUUUGUGGCAUGGUGUGGAUUGUUCAUUCUCUAUGAAAUAUUUUAAGUAUCACUGUUGGACAGUUCAGCUCUACAAGGAACUGAUCAGUUGAAAUAAACAUCAUGGUU